CAAAACUGUAACUGUACGAAUUUGGGAUAUCUUGACUAAGCGUGGUUUGCCUUGAUGAAAAAAAAAGAUAGAGAAAAUUUCCUUGGGCAAAAACUAUCCAGCUUAGCUAACUGGUUUAGAGUUAAGAAUUUAUAGGUCAAUCUAGGUCUCUAACAAUGAACAAAAGUCAUGCAUGCUGCAUAGUAAGCUAUACAAAUCAACAGUACGAC
rnacentral:lncRNA from 1 species